rnacentral:rRNA from 1 species
UAUUCCCCACUGCUGCCUCCCGUAGGAGUCUGGACCGUGUCUCAGUUCCAGUGUGGCUGGUCAUCCUCUCAGACCAGCUAGGGAUCGUCGCCUAGGUGAGCCGUUACCCCACCUACUAGCUAAUCCCAUCUGGGCACAUCUGAUGGCAAGAGGCCCGAAGGUCCCCCUCUUUGGUCUUGCGACGUUAUGCGGUAUUAGCUACCGUUUCCAGUAGUUAUCCCCCUCCAUCAGGCAGUUUCCCAGACAUUACUCACCCGUCCGCCACUCGUCAGCGAAACAGCAAGCUGUUUCCUGUUACCGUUCGACUUGCAUGUGUUAGGCCUGCCGCCAGCGUUCAUCCUGAGCCAA